rnacentral:rRNA from 1 species
UACGGAAGGCAGCAGUGGGGAAUAUUGCACAAUGGGCGCAAGCCUGAUGCAGCCAUGCCGCGUGUAUGAAGAAGGCCUUCGGGUUGUAAAGUACUUUCAGUCGUGAGGAAGGUGUUAAGGUUAAUAACCUUAGCAAUUGACGUUAGCGACAGAAGAAGCACCGGCUAACUCCGUGCCAGCAGCCGCGGUAAUACGGAGGGUGCGAGCGUUAAUCGGAAUUACUGGGCGUAAAGGGCACGCAGGCGGUUAAUUAAGUUGGAUGUGAAAUCCCCGGGCUUAACCUGGGAAUGGCAUUCAAGCUGGUUAGCUAGAGUCUUGUAGAGGGGGUAGAAUUCCAUGUGUAGCGGUGAAAUGCGUAGAGAUGUGGAGGAAUACCGGUGGCGAAGGCGGCCCCUGGGACAAAGGACUGACGCUCAUGUGCGAAAGCGUGGGGAGCAAACG